GUUGCAGACGCAUGCUGUUCGUCUACGCAAUAGGUUUAUUGAAGAAAUAUUACAUUAUAUCUGCAUUUCAUCAUGGUUUACACUGACAGUGAAGUGACCAAAUGAAGGGUGUGAUAGAGAUGAUGAGAAACGUCUGUCUCUGCAGCUAUGUAUCCCUGCGGUUCCCUGAGUGUGGCUUGGCCUGUCACACAAAAGCAGCCUUGGACUCUGGCACAGGCUGCACGAGUGUGUCUACUGGCCUGUAUUCCUUCCUGUGACUGUGGGUAGUUCACAUCCUCCACGCUGACCCUGCUGACCCCGCUGACCCCUGAUGUUACACUGCCAAGCAGUGACCAUGUCGAAGCAGAUGGCUUCAGGGACUGCAAGAAGGAUUGACAGCACCCAGAUGGAGAGGAUCUCGAUGGCAGUCAAGAGAGGGAUGCCCACCCCCUGCACCCUGCUCCACGACGCUACAGCCCUGUAC